CAGGCCUAACACAUGCAAGUCGAACGAAGGCUUCGGCCUUAGUGGCGCACGGGUGCGUAACGCGUGGGAAUCUGCCCCUUGGUUCGGAAUAACAGUUAGAAAUGACUGCUAAUACCGGAUAACGACGUAAGUCCAAAGAUUUAUCGCCGAGGGAUGAGCCCGCGUAGGAUUAGCUAGUUGGUGUGGUAAAGGCGCACCAAGGCGACGAUCCUUAGCUGGUCUGAGAGGAUGAUCAGCCACACUGGGACUGAGACACGGCCCAGACUCCUACGGGAGGCAGCAGUGGGGAAUAUUGGACAAUGGGGGCAACCCUGAUCCAGCCAUGCCGCGUGAGUGACGAAGGCCUUCGGGUUGUAAAGCUCUUUUAGCAGGGACGAUAAUGACGGUACCUGCAGAAUAAGCCCCGGCUAACUUCGUGCCAGCAGCCGCGGUAAU
rnacentral:rRNA from 1 species